GUUGCUUCUGUAAUUUAAUGUUGAGUAACCUGUGUUCUGAUUGGUUAUUCAUUAUGUAUAGAAGCAUACAACUGUGUUAUUGCCAGUUUUAAACAGCAUGAUGUGUUUUUAUUUUGCAUUGUGUUACCUGUCUGCUGGUAAAUUU